GAUGAAGAACGUAGCGAAAGGCGAUAAGUAAUGUGAAUUGCAGAAUUCAGUGAAUCAUCGAAUCUUUGAACGCACAUUGCGCCCCUUGGUAUUCCGAGGGGCAUGCCUGUUCGAGCGUCAUAUUAACCACUCCCGCUUGCGGGGUCUUGGGCUUCGCCUCCGGGCGGGCCUUAAAAUCAGUGGCGGUGCCGUCGGGCUCUACGCGUAGUAAAUUUUCUCGCGAUAGGGUCCCGGUGGAUGCUUGCCAACAACCCCCAACUUCUUAAGGUUGACCUCGGAUCAGGUAGGGAUACCCGCUGAACUUAAGCAUAUCAAUAAGCGGAGGA
rnacentral:misc_RNA from 1 species